GGAAUAUUGCGCAAUGGGCGAAAGCCUGACGCAGCGACGCCGCGUGGAGGAUGAAGGCUUUUGAGUCGUAAACUCCUGUUAAGUGGGAAGAAAGGUCUGUACCUAAUACGUACAGAAGUAUGACGGUAACACUAAAGAAAGCACCGGCUAACUUCGUUCCAGCAGCCGCGGUAAUACGAGGGGUGCAAGCGUUAUUCGGAUUAACUGGGCGGAAAGGGUGUGUAGACGGUAUAGUAAGUCCGCUGUCAAAUCCUCCGGCUUAACCGGAGAAGGGCAGUAGAAACUGUUAUGCUAGAGGGUGGAAGAGAGAAGUGGAAUUCCCGGAGUAGCGGUAAAAUGCGUAGAUCUCGGGAGGAACACCAAUGGCGAAGGCAGCUUCUUGGUCCAUACCUGACGUUGAGGCACGAAAGCGUGGGGAGCAAA
rnacentral:rRNA from 1 species